AACGCACCUUGCGCCCUUUGGUAUUCCGAAGGGCACGCCUGUUUGAGUGUCGUGAAAUUCUCAACCCUGCGCUUUUCUUGUGAAAGCGCGUGGGCUUGGAUCGUGAGUGCCUGCUGGACCUUGCAUCAGCUCACUCUAAAAGCAUGAGUGGUCUUUGCCCUGCACUGGCUUGACCCGGCGUGAUAGACUUAUCGUCGGGGAUCUCUGUAAAAGGAGAGCCAUGUGGUGAGCUGGCCGCUUCUAACCAUGACCUAGUCAAUCUGUCUCUUAGACCUCAGAUCAGGCAGGACUACCCGCUGAACUUAA
rnacentral:rRNA from 1 species